ACGCUCGACACCUACUGGAGGCAGCAGUGGGGAAUAUUGCACAAUGGGGGAAACCCUGAUGCAGCGACGCCGCGUGGAGGAAGAAGGUCUUCGGAUUGUAAACUCCUGUUGUUGGGGAAAAAGNGGAUGGUACCCAACAAGGAAGUGACGGCUAACUACGUGCCGGCAGCCGCGGUAAUCUGAGCGGGCUGGCAAGGC
rnacentral:rRNA from 1 species